GAUGAACGCUGGCGGCGUGCCUAAUACAUGCAAGUCGAGCGAACGGACGAGAAGCUUGCUUCUCUGAUGUUAGCGGCGGACGGGUGAGUAACACGUGGAUAACCUACCUAUAAGACUGGGAUAACUUCGGGAAACCGGAGCUAAUACCGGAUAAUAUUUUGAACCGCAUGGUUCAAAAGUGAAAGACGGUCUUGCUGUCACUUAUAGAUGGAUCCGCGCUGCAUUAGCUAGUUGGUAAGGUAACGGCUUACCAAGGCAACGAUGCAUAGCCGACCUGAGAGGGUGAUCGGCCACACUGGAACUGAGACACGGUCCAGACUCCUACGGGAGGCAGCAGUAGGGAAUCUUCCGCAAUGGGCGAAAGCCUGACGGAGCAACGCCGCGUGAGUGAUGAAGGUCUUCGGAUCGUAAAACUCUGUUAUUAGGGAAGAACAUAUGUGUAAGUAACUGUGCAUAUCUUGACGGUACCUAAUCAGAAAGCCACGGCUAACUACGUGCCAGCAGCCGCGGUAAUACGUAGGUGGCAAGCGUUAUCCGAAAUUAUGGGGCGUAAAGCGCGCGUAGGCGGUUUUUUAGUCUGAUGUGAAAGCCCACGGCUCAACCGUGGAGGGUCAUUGGAAACUGGAAAACUUGAGUGCAGAAGGGGAAAGUGGAAUUCCAUGUGUAGCGGUGAAAUGCGCAGAGAUAUGGAGGAACACCAGUGGCGAAGGCGACUUUCUGGUCUGUAACUGACGCUGAUGUGCGAAAGCGUGGGGAUCAAACAGGAUUAGAUACCCUGGUAGUCCACGCCGUAAACGAUGAGUGCUAAGUGUUAGGGGGUUUCCGCCCCUUAGUGCUGCAGCUAACGCAUUAAGCACUCCGCCUGGGGAGUACGACCGCAAGGUUGAAACUCAAAGGAAUUGACGGGGACCCGCACAAGCGGUGGAGCAUGUGGUUUAAUUCGAAGCAACGCGAAGAACCUUACCAAAUCUUGACAUCCUUUGACAACUCUAGAGAUAGAGCCUUCCCCUUCGGGGGACAAAGUGACAGGUGGUGCAUGGUUGUCGUCAGCUCGUGUCGUGAGAUGUUGGGUUAAGUCCCGCAACGAGCGCAACCCUUAAGCUUAGUUGCCAUCAUUAAGUUGGGCACUCUAAGUUGACUGCCGGUGACAAACCGGAGGAAGGUGGGGAUGACGUCAAAUCAUCAUGCCCCUUAUGAUUUGGGCUACACACGUGCUACAAUGGACAAUACAAAGGGCAGCGAAACCGCGAGGUCAAGCAAAUCCCAUAAAGUUGUUCUCAGUUCGGAUUGUAGUCUGCAACUCGACUACAUGAAGCUGGAAUCGCCAGUAAUCGUAGAUCAGCAUGCUACGGUGAAUACGUUCCCGGGUCU
rnacentral:rRNA from 1 species